rnacentral:rRNA from 1 species
UACGUAGGGGGCUAGCGUUGUCCGGAAUCAUUGGGCGUAAAGCGCGCGUAGGCGGCCCGGUAAGUCCGCUGUAAAAGUCCAGGGCUCAACCCUGGAAAGCCGGUGGAUACUGUCGGGCUCGAGUCCGGAAGAGGCGAGUGGAAUUCCCAGUGUAGAGGUGAAAUUCGUAGAUAUUGGGAAGAACACCAGUGGCGAAGGCGGCUAACUGGUCCAGCACUGACGCUGAGGUGCGAAAGCGUGGGGAGCAAACAGG